rnacentral:rRNA from 1 species
GACGAACGCUGGCGGCGUGCCUAAUACAUGCAAGUAGAACGCAGUUGCGAACGGGUGAGUAACGCGUAGGUAACUGCCUCAUAGCGGGGGAUAACUAUUGGAAACGAUAGCUAAUACCGCAUACUGUGAGAUGGACCUGCGUUGUAUUAGCUAGUUGGUGUGGUAAAGGCGCACCAAGGCGACGAUACAUAGCCGACCUGAGAGGGUGAUCGGGCAAACUGGGACUGGGCAACGGCCCAAGAUCCCUAGGGGAGCAGCAGUAGGGGAUCAUCGGCCAUGGGGGGAAGUCUGACCGAACAAAGCCGCGUGAGUGAAGAAGGUUUUCGGGUCGUAAAGCUCUGUUGUGAGAGGAGCGGUAACUAACGAGAAAGGGACGGCUAACUACGUGCCAGCAGCCGCGGUAAUUC